UGCUCGGUAGCUCAGUCUGGCCAGAGCGCGCCGCUGUUAACGGCGUUGCCGUGGGUUCGAAUCCCACCCGAGCAGCCU
rnacentral:tRNA from 1 species